UACGUAGGGUGCAAGCGUUGUCCGGAAUUAUUGGGCGUAAAGAGCUCGUAGGCGGUCUGUCGCGUCGGAUGUGAAAAUCCAGGGCUCAACCCUGGACCUGCAUUCGAUACGGGCAGACUAGAGUUCGGUAGGGGAGACUGGAAUUCCUGGUGUAGCGGUGAAAUGCGCAGAUAUCAGGAGGAACACCAGUGGCGAAGGCGGCUGACUGGUCCGGUUCUGACGCUGAGGCGCGAAAGCGUGGGGAGCAAACAGG
rnacentral:rRNA from 1 species